rnacentral:rRNA from 1 species
UACGUAGGGGGCAAGCGUUGUCCGGAUUUAUUGGGCGUACAGAGCGUGUAGGCGGUUAGGUAGGUCCGUUGUGAAAACUCGAGGCUCAACCUCGAGACGCCGAUGGAAACCAUCUGACUAGAGUCCGGAAGAGGAGAGUGGAAUUCCUGGUGUAGCGGUGAAAUGCGCAGAUAUCAGGAAGAACACCCGUGGCUAAGGCGGCUCUCUAGUACGUGACUGACGCUGAGACGCGAAAGCGUGGGGAGCGAACAGG